CAGCGCGAACGUUGGCGGCGUGCCUAACACAUGCAAGUCGUGGGGCAGCAGGCUACUGUCUUUUGGCAGUAGUGCUGGCGACCGGCAAACGGGUGAGUAACGCGUAGCUUACCUACCCAUAGGUUGGGGAUAACACUCCGAAAGGGGUGCUAAUACCCAAUAAUGAGGAGACUCCAAAGCCCUUAUGGGCGCCUAUGGAUGGGGCUGCGUCCCAUCAGCUAGUUGGUGAGGUAAUGGCUCACCAAGGCUACGACGGGUAACCGGUCUGAGAGGAUGACCGGUCACAGCGGGACUGAGACACGGCCCGCACCCCUACGGGGGGCAGCAGUGGGGAAUAUUGGGCAAUGGCCGAAAGGCUGACCCAGCGACGCCGCGUGGUGGAUGAAGCCCUUCGGGGUGUAAACACCUUUUCUGGGGGAAGAUAAUGACGGUACCCCAGGAAUAAGGGACGGCUAACUACGUGCCAGCAGCCGCGGUAA
rnacentral:rRNA from 1 species